rnacentral:tRNA from 1 species
AAGACCAUAGUCAAAUAUAAUGACAUUUGAGUUGCAUUCAUAAAGAGUUCUUAGAACUGGUUUU